rnacentral:lncRNA from 1 species
UUUUCAAAGCGAUCUUCGAUGCAUUUCCACUCACUGUUAGAAAGUUUUCGGUGAUGAAUGGGUAUGCCUAAAUAUCUAAACGGUAGUCUUCCCAAUUCACAACCGAACAAAAAUAAUAAUUAUAUGCACUACAUUAUGGAAAGUAAGUACUAUUCAUGCAUUGUAGAUUCUUAGAUUUCGGCUAGACACAUAUAAAGCUAAAUCGAAGCAGAUGCAUGUGUGUUGUGUUCAAGUUUUUCUUGUUUUCGAAACAGGAAGAGAAGACUUUAAUUACUUAAUUUGGAGUUGAAGGAUAUAUAGCUAGCUAACGCAUCCACCUGCCUUCGUACUAGCCAAAUAUUCCGCCUUCACACAUUCUGACUAGCAUCAGUACUCAGAAAGCGUCUCGUACUGCUGUAACUGGUGAGGAGUGUGUGUGCCCACCUGGGUUUAGCCACACCUCUUCCAUUACUAAACCGCAUAGUCGGUGGAUAGGUAGUGCCUUCACCAACCUUCCGUUCAAUGCUUGUGCGCCCUUAUAAUUCACAUUGCCUGCGUAACUAGCCAAACAUACAACCUUCUGCUUUAGCCCUUUGACUCUAGCUAGCUACCUUUUACCAAGACAGCAACACUAGAACCACACUCGCCGACUUCUGAUUUGCGGGAAUGGAGAUGUUUGGUAGCAAAUAACGUAUACAAAAUAUUUAGGUAGUUAGGAGUUUGACGCAUGUACUGUGUUGGGAACAAGACGAAUGGGGAAACACAUCCUCUGUUGAUGCUUACAUCACAGUUGCUACACCUAUUUUUUGUAGUGCGAGCAGUUGUUUAGAACAAGGCGCAAUCCAUUGUCCAGUCUCAGUUGGAGCAAACUCAACAAUGAUAUUAUGCCCGUAGGUCUC